GCGUAAUUGGUUUAGUGGUAAAAUUCUCCGUUGCCAUCGGAGAGCCCAGGGUUCGAUUCCCUGAUUACGCA
rnacentral:tRNA from 1 species